GAACACUCACUCUCGUCCGCUUCGCAAGAUGACUUGCACAGAUCGGCGUCUUUGCUCUAGCUUCCCUAAUCGUCCUUCCCUGUACGCGCUCGAUCUUGCCGACCGAGGCGAUGGCGGCGGUACCCGCGGUGAGGUUCCCGUUGUUCGGCCUCGUACGGCUGCUUGGCGUGGCCGCGGCAGCGGUCAUCCUCGUCUGGGCCGUCCACUUCCGCGGCGGUAUGGCGCUCUCCGCCGAGAAAGACAAGCUCCUCAUCUUCAACGUACACCCUGUGCUAAUGCUGAUUGGAUUGGUAGUCCUGAAUGCUGAAGCUCUUUUGGCGUACAAGACAGUGCCAGGAACCAAGAAACUGAAGAAGUUAGUACACAUUACGUUGCAGUUCCUUGCCAUGUUUUUGAGUCUAGUUGGCCUCUGGGCUGUCUGGAAGUUCCACGAUGAAAAAGAAAUUGACCACUUGUACACACUCCACUCCUGGUUGGGCCUUUCUUGCAUCAUCAUCUUCAGCUUGCAGUGGGCUGCUGGAUUUUUGACCUUCUGGUACCCUGGAGGAUCUAGAAGCGACAGAGCGUCCCUGCUCCCCUGGCAUGUGUUCUUGGGUGUAUUUCUCUAUGUUCUUGCCAUCGCCACAAGCGUGACUGGACUUCUGGAGAAGUCAAUCUUCAUGCAGAGUGCAAAAAUGAUCGGGCGCUUCUCCACAGAAGCGAUGCUGAUGAACUCACUGGGGAUGAUGCUGAUACUACUAGGAGCUCUUGUUAUUCUUGCUAUUUUUAACCCUGGAGCUGGCAAGAUCAACACGUACCGAGGUUCUUCAGAGUGAGAGGGAUUGGAAGGGAUAUGUGAGUAUGUUGUUUGGCUGCAGCUAGUCAUAAACUACACCUUUCUUGCUUCAACCUAGGAAAUUUUAUAUGUAUGUGUCAUUGCCCUCUGGGCUGUUAUUUUUUAAUCUGCGAAUUGAACGGUUAACCCUGUUCCUGUCAGGAAUUGUUUCCCUAUCCAUUCUUGUGGCAAACUGAUCAGUCAAGCUGACCGAAAUUACAAAUGAGGAUGUCUUUUGAAGGUGC
rnacentral:rRNA from 1 species